GGCGGUGUAGUGUAGUGGCCUAGCACGCAACCCUCUCACGGUUGAGACCCGGGUUCGAUUCCCGACUCCGCUACCA
rnacentral:tRNA from 2 species